rnacentral:rRNA from 1 species
ACGCUCGACACCUACGGGAGGCAGCAGUGGGGAAUAUUGCACAAUGGGGGAAACCCUGAUGCAGCGACGCCGCGUGAGCGAAGAAGUAUUUCGGUAUGUAAAGCUCUAUCAGCAGGAAAGAAGAAAGACGGUACCUGACUAAGAAGCCCCGGCUAACUACGUGCCACAGCCGCGGUAAUCUGAGCGGGCUGGCAAGGC